AGCGUCAGAAUCCAGACUAGGCCCGCCCACUCGGGGGUCACUCCUUUGCCAUAAAACGUGUCGACAGCGUUCCCAUUUUCCAUAAUUUUGCCUUUUUUCCCAUCUUUAAGAACAAAAGAAGAAGACGACAUGGGAGGCGCUCCAUCUGUCGCGGCAGGUGCUAUGCUUUUUUCGCCCCCUGUCGGGACGACAAUUGGAUAUGUUCGCCCUGACCCUAGAAUGUUGAUCGCUAAUCCACCAUUGCCUGGAACAGGACUAUCAUUUCCAGGACGGAUGCUGCCGACUGGGGGAGCAUCAGGUUCCGCUGCUUCUGCUGCAGUUGUCGCCGGUCAUGUGAUGAGACUCUUCUGAGUUACAAAGGAGUGUUUUAAAAGUCUCCUAUUUCAAAUAGUCAGAUACAGUUCUCAAAAUGACCACAAUUCAUUUCAGUCUCAGCUAGAUGGAUUUGCCAGAUUAACCAGAAUUAUGUUUGUAUUAUGCCUCAAUUGUGGUGAAAAAUAAAACAUUCUGAUAAUGUA